CACGUAGGGCGCAAGCGUUGUCCGGAAUUAUUGGGCGUAAAGAGCUCGUAGGCGGUCUGUUGCGUCCGCUGUGAAAACUCGGGGCUUAACCCCGAGCCUGCAGUGGAUACGGGCAGACUAGAGGUAGGUAGGGGAGAAUGGAAUUCCCGGUGUAGCGGUGAAAUGCGCAGAUAUCGGGAGGAACACCGGUGGCGAAGGCGGAUCUCUGGGCCUUACCUGACGCUCAGGCGCGAAAGCUAGGGGAGCGAACUGG
rnacentral:rRNA from 1 species